rnacentral:rRNA from 1 species
UACGUAGGUGGCAAGCGUUGUCCGGAUUUACUGGGCGUAAAGAGCGCGCAGGCGGUCGCUCAAGUCGCGUGUGAAAGCCCCCGGCUCAACUGGGGAGGGUCACGCGAUACUGAUCGACUCGAAGGCAGGAGAGGGUAGUGGAAUUCCCGGUGUAGUGGUGAAAUGCGUAGAUAUCGGGAGGAACACCAAUGGCGAAGGCAGCUCGCUGGGACGUUACUGACGCUGAGACGCGAAAGCGUGGGGAGCAAACAGG